rnacentral:rRNA from 1 species
GACGGAGGGGGCUAGCGUUGUUCGGAAUUACUGGGCGUAAAGCGCACGUAGGCGGCCUUUCAAGUCAGAUGUGAAAGCCCCGGGCUUAACCCGGGAAUUGCAUUUGAUACUGUUAGGCUUGAGACCGGGAGAGGAUAGCGGAAUUCCCCAGUGUAGAGGUGAAAUUCGUAGAUAUUGGGAAGAACACCAGUGGCGAAGGCGGCUAUCUGGACCGGUACUGACGCUGAGGUGCGAAAGCGUGGGGAGCAAACAGG